rnacentral:lncRNA from 1 species
AGGUAACUGAAAAGCUAGCUAACAGUGGUAUCGCUAUCAGAAAAUGGUGCUAUAUGGCAGCUAUUUUCCGAUCAAUCUUGUUCUUUUCGGUCAACAGUUAUUGGUUCCUGAGAAAAAAGAUCUGUACUCCAAAUCCUUCUGCACUGCUAGACUGAUUGUUGAUUUUGCCGUGUCCAUUUCUUUUGCAAGUAGCCAUGCUCCGCCCUGGAUUCUGGUUGAUCUCCUCCAAUUCAGAGAUAAAUUCAUCACUCUUCUUGCAGUUAGAUCGCUUUCUGUGUUUGGCUCAGUCAGGAGUAAGUUUCUCUGGACCUAGACUCUGUAAAUCUCUUGGCUUCUUGUAGCCAAACCAUGCAAUGAUUUCCUUCGGUGUUUUUCCGCCAUGAAGCAAUUCAAUAAUGGCUGCCCUCUGAUCAUAUUCACAACUUGUUGAAGUAGAAGCU